UGGGGAAUCUUGGACAAUGGGCGAAAGCCUGAUCCAGCCAUGCCGCGUGAAUGAUGAAGGCCCUAGGGUUGUAAAAUUCUUUCGACGGGGAAGAUAAUGACGGUACCCGUAGAAGAAGCUCCGGCUAACUUCGUGCCAGCAGCCGCGGUAAUACGAAGGGGGCUAGCGUUGUUCGGAAUUACUGGGCGUAAAGCGCACGUAGGCGGAUCGAUAAGUAAGGGGUGAAAUCCCAGAGCUCAACUCUGGAACUGCCCUUUAGACUGUCGAUCUGGAGCAGAGUAGAGGUGAGUGGAAUUCCGAGUGUAGAGGUGAAAUUCGUAGAUAUUCGGAGGAACACCAGUGGCGAAGGCGGCUCACUGGACUCUUGCUGACGCUGAGGUGCGAAAGCGUGGGGAGCAAACA
rnacentral:rRNA from 1 species